GGGGCUAUAGCUCAGUUGGGAGAGCACCUGCCUUGCAAGCAGGAGGUCUGCGGUUCGAUCCCGCAUAGCUCCACCA
rnacentral:tRNA from 1 species